AACGAACGCUGGCGGCAUGCCUAACACAUGCAAGUCGAACGAUUGCCUUCGGGUGAUAGUGGCGCACGGGUGCGUAACGCGUGGGAAUCUGCCCUUAGGUUCGGAAUAACAGCUGGAAACGGCUGCUAAUACCGGAUGAUAUCGCGAGAUCAAAGAUUUAUCGCCUGAGGAUGAGCCCGCGUUGGAUUAGGUAGUUGGUGGGGUAAAGGCCUACCAAGCCGACGAUCCAUAGCUGGUCUGAGAGGAUGAUCAGCCACACUGGGACUGAGACACGGCCCAGACUCCUACGGGAGGCAGCAGUGGGGAAUAUUGGAAAAUGGGCGCAAGCCUGAUCCAGCAAUGCCGCGUGAGUGAUGAAGGCCCUAGGGUUGUAAAGCUCUUUUACCCGGGAAGAUAAUGACGGUACCGGGAGAAUAAGCCCCGGCUAACUCCGUG
rnacentral:rRNA from 1 species